AAGUCGUAACAAGGUUUCCGUAGGUGAACCUGCUAACACGUAUCCAACGUUAAACGAACCUUCAGAAGUCCGUUCUCGUAACACCAGUGCGCCUCAGCAAUCCCGGUAAAUCAUUGUCGCCCAAAAAAACGAACAACUGUUAACAAUGGAUAUCUUGGUUCUC
rnacentral:misc_RNA from 1 species